GCCAGGUGUGGUGGCACACACUUGUAAUCCCAGCAUUUGGGAGGCUGAGGCAGGAGGAUCACCCUGAGUUCAAGGCCAGCAUGGGCUACAUAGCAAGUUCAAGGCUAGCCUGGACUACACAGCAAGACCUCAUCUCAAAAAAGCCAAAAACUCCCCAAGAAACAGGGUUUCACUACAUAAUUCAGGCUGCCCUUGAACUCACUAUGUAGCCUAGGCUGGCCUUGAACUCAUGGUGAUCCUCCUGCCUCA
rnacentral:sRNA from 1 species